rnacentral:rRNA from 1 species
CUGGCGGCGUGCCUAAUACAUGCAAGUAGAACGCUGAAGAGAGGAGCUUGCUCUUCUUGGAUGAGUUGCGAACGGGUGAGUAACGCGUAGGUAACCUGCCUUGUAGCGGGGGAUAACUAUUGGAAACGAUAGCUAAUACCGCAUAACAAUGGAUGACACAUGUCAUUUAUUUGAAAGGGGCAAUUGCUCCACUACAAGAUGGACCUGCGUUGUAUUAGCUAGUAGGUGAGGUAAUGGCUCACCUAGGCGACGAUACAUAGCCGACCUGAGAGGGUGAUCGGCCACACUGGGACUGAGACACGGCCCAGACUCCUACGGGAGGCAGCAGUAGGGAAUCUUCGGCAAUGGGGGCAACCCUGACCGAGCAACGCCGCGUGAGUGAAGAAGGUUUUCGGAUCGUAAAGCUCUGUUGUAAGUCAAGAACGGGUGUGAGAGUGGAAAGUUCACACUGUGACGGUAGCUUACCAGAAAGGGACGGCUAACUACGUGCCAGCAGCCGCGGUAAUACGUAGGUCCCGAGCGUUGUCCGGAUUUAUUGGGCGUAAAGCGAGCGCAGGCGGUUUGAUAAGUCUGAAGUUAAAGGCUGUGGCUCAACCAUAGUUCGCUUUGGAAACUGUCAAACUUGAGUGCAGAAGGGGAGAGUGGAAUUCCAUGUGUAGCGGUGAAAUGCGUAGAUAUAUGGAGGAACACCGGUGGCGAAAGCGGCUCUCUGGUCUGUAACUGACGCUGAGGCUCGAAAGCGUGGGGAGCGAACAGGAUUAGAUACCCUGGUAGUCCACGCCGUAAACGAUGAGUGCUAGGUGUUGGAUCCUUUCCGGGAUUCAGUGCCGCAGCUAACGCAUUAAGCACUCCGCCUGGGGAGUACGACCGCAAGGUUGAAACUCAAAGGAAUUGACGGGGGCCCGCACAAGCGGUGGAGCAUGUGGUUUAAUUCGAAGCAACGCGAAGAACCUUACCAGGUCUUGACAUCCCGAUGCUAUUUCUAGAGAUAGAAAGUUACUUCGGUACAUCGGUGACAGGUGGUGCAUGGUUGUCGUCAGCUCGUGUCGUGAGAUGUUGGGUUAAGUCCCGCAACGAGCGCAACCCCUAUUGUUAGUUGCCAUCAUUCAGUUGGGCACUCUAGCGAGACUGCCGGUAAUAAACCGGAGGAAGGUGGGGAUGACGUCAAAUCAUCAUGCCCCUUAUGACCUGGGCUACACACGUGCUACAAUGGUUGGUACAACGAGUUGCGAGUCGGUGACGGCGAGCUAAUCUCUUAAAGCCAAUCUCAGUUCGGAUUGUAGGCUGCAACUCGCCUACAUGAAGUCGGAAUCGCUAGUAAUCGCGGAUCAGCACGCCGCGGUGAAUACGUUCCCGGGCCUUGUACACACCGCCCGUCACACCACGAGAGUUUGUAACACCCGAAGUCGGUGAGGUAACCUUUUGGAGCCAGCCGCCUA